UCACCGCUGUCGGUUGACCUGGGUAGGCUGCAGCCGCUGGGGCUUGGCUAUCCAGCAGGUCCUCUUGGGGACUACAACCAGUCACAGGCCCGAGCACCGAGGGAAGAAGCUCCCAGGCUGGGGUUGAAUUUGGGAAUGGAGCCCACACAGGCUGUACCUGGAUACUUGGACUCUCCAUCGGCAGAGGCAACAGCAGUAAAGCCACCAUGGGAAUGGGUUGAUCCAACAACCACUUUAGAGUUUCCACUUAUUUCUGGCAGUCCUUCUGGAAUAUUCUGGGGGGAGGGGGUGUCUCCUGAUUGUACUUAGCCCGCUGAUUCUUGAAUAAGAUCUGGAUCUCAUACUCCAUCAAAUGGAUCCUUCGCGCCAGCUCCACCCGCUGCUCCAGGCUCAGAUACAAGCACUGAUCAAAACACUCCUGAGCUUUUGUUCCUUGUACAGAUGCUUGGCAGAGUCUGUCCUGGGCCUUUUAAACUCUAAUACGAUUUUCUUCAAGCUUCAAAGACAAAAUAAGGGUAGCCAGAUGCCUCAGUGGGUGGGAGUGCUCGCUGCACAGACCUGAAGCUCUGAGACCAGCCCCCGGAACCCACGGAUCUCACCAUGACUUUUGUGGAACUUGCUGUGUAGACCGGGCUGGCCUCCAACUUGGAGAGAUUGGCCUGCUUCUGCCUCUGGAGUGCUGGGAUCGAAGGUGUGUACCACCAGGGAUAUGUCUUUGUAAGUGCAUAUUAGAGACAAGCUGACUGUCUCCGGGAGGACACCAGAGGACCAGCAGGCUGGAAACCGUCAAGUGACAUGCUGGAGAACGAGGGGUCAGGGGACCAGACGUGCUUUUCUUUUCUUCUUCUUCCUCUUUCUUUGUUUCUUAGUUUGUUUGUUUGUUUCUUUCUUUCUUUCUCUUCCUUCCUUCCUUCUUUCUCUCUCUCUCUCUUUCCCUUCCUUCCUUCCUCCCUCCCUCUCUCCCCCCCCCCUCUUUCAUUUUUUUCUGAAACAAAGUCUUGCUAUGUUAUCUAGCUUGAUCUUGAACUUCUGGGUUCAAGCAGUUCUGUUUCAGCCUACAGAGUAUCUGGGACUGGAGGGUGGGUCCCCUCCCUCUU